rnacentral:lncRNA from 1 species
CUGCAAACAUCACAGAGACAAUGAUGAGCACCCUGUCUCGUGAAGAUUUGCGGGAUCUUUUCCCAGGCCCAGAGAACUUUUUACGAAGAAAAGCGGUCUGGCGUGUCUGUCAUGGUGCCUCGGAGGAGGAGUUUGGCCAAGAACACUUAAAAUUAUCGAGCAGUUCGUCCUUUAAUGCGUCACCCAUGCAACAGACAUCCACUCCUGUGAAUGCAAGUCUUGCAAAGUACACAACCCCUGAAAAGGUUGUGAAGUUAUCCUUUCCAGAAUAUGUACUGCACACUGACACAGAACUUGAGCAAGUCCGACAUCAGUACUUUGAGUUGCCGAAAAGAGGCGAACAGCGCAACUGCUAGAUGUCAAAGGAGCUCAGAUGCCGGCUCAUUCGAAACACCAUGACCAGUAUGAUUGCAAUCCUGAGGGCAAAGGAGGAUGGAGAAUCACACAGAUACCCAUCAAAGCCAGAAAUUACAGCAAUGGCAAAGAGAAUAGUGCUGUACCCAUGCUGCAGGACCAAGGCUUCCAUACAUGGGUCACUGUGUACACACAGCUAUACAAAAGAUUGCAAAAUGUGAGAUCCCCCCAAAAAAGAACUCCAGAUGGGAGACAUUCAAAGAGCUCAACAAAGAGGCGCUGUCUUGAGCAGCCAACAGACACGGAUGAAAUGGAUUCAAGUGACUCGACAAUCAUUCUGGAUCUGUCCACAUAA